UACGUAGGGCGCAAGCGUUGUCCGGAAUUAUUGGGCGUAAAGAGCUCGUAGGCGGUUUGUCGCGUCUGCUGUGAGAACUCGAGGCUCAACCUCGGGCUUGCAGUGGGUACGGGCAGACUAGAGUGCGGUAGGGGUGACUGGAAUUCCUGGUGUAGCGGUGGAAUGCGCAGAUAUCAGGAGGAACACCGAUGGCGAAGGCAGGUCACUGGGCCACAACUGACGCUGAGGAGCGAAAGCGUGGGGAGCGAACAGG
rnacentral:rRNA from 1 species